UUAACAGAUGUUUAUGGUGCCUGGUAACCUAUGGGACUGUCGCGUUGAGUAUCCUGUCGACUCAGGACAUAAUGUUUAUAACAUAAUGUAAUAAAUGGAGCUACAGUUGCAGCCUGCUCCUGCCAAGUGUAUGAAGCACCCUAGCAUGGAAACAAAUCUUGAAGUUGGUCCAACUUGGCGAGCCUCUUUGGCUAUCUGCUGAUCCCAGUCAGACAAUGGAUCUGUUGCUCCUCACUUAUCAAGUCCCAACAUUCUUGGAGGAAUGAUGCCAACCUGACUUGUACAUAGGAGGAGGUAUGGUUCAAAGGCAUGCACUUUGGGGCCACUGGGACCUCAGUUUGAAUUCUAGCUUUACCACCUAUUUAUAGUUUAACCCUGCUGUGACUCAUGUUUCUCCCCUGGGAAAAUGACAGUGCCUACAUCCCAGGGCUAGAGUACUGACUCCCA
rnacentral:lncRNA from 1 species